CCUACGGGAGGCAGCAGUAGGGAAUAUUGGGCAAUGGGCGGAAGCCUGACCCAGCCACGCCGCGUGCAGGAAGACGGCCCUCUGGGUUGUAAACUGCUUUUGACUGGGAAGAAAGAAGCCCAUGCGUGGGAAGUUGACGGUACCAGUCGAAUAAGCCACGGCUAACUACGUGCCAGCAGCCGCGGUAAUACGUAGGUGGCAAGCGUUAUCCGGAUUUAUUGGGUUUAAAGGGUGCGUAGGCGGUUUAAUAAGUCAGUGGUUAAAGGUAGCAGCUUAACUGUUUUACAUGCCACUGAUACUGUUGAACUUGAGUUGACAGAAGGCAGAUAGAAUUUCUGGUGUAGCGGUGAAAUGCUUAGAUACCAGAAGGAAUACCGAUUGCGAAGGCAGUCUGCUGCAGUCACACUGACGCUGAGGCACGAAAGUGCGGGGAUCAAACAGGAUUAGAUACCCUGGUAGUCCGCACAGUAAACGAUGAUUACUAGAUGUUGGCUAUGCCAGUGUCCAAGGGAAACCGACAAGUAAUCCACCUGGGGAGUACGCCGGCAACGGUGAAACUCAAAGGAAUUGACGG
rnacentral:rRNA from 1 species